AAAGAAAGUUAAUGUAAACAAAGCUCCUGGGCCUGAAGGUAUUCAUCCACGAGUACUUCACCCCUUAAGGACGGUGGGAGUUCUAUGCCAUCCUUAAGGGGUGGUCCUAAAUACAGCAAGGCCACUUAGAACAUCCCCGCUGUCCUUAAUAUCCAUCGGGUCCCCACUGCAUCCGCCAGCGGAUGCGAUCCUGGGGACUGCCUGGGAGCCCAGUUAGUCCC